rnacentral:tRNA from 2 species
GGGGCCGUAGUUCAGCUGGGAGAACGCUUGACUGGCAGUCAAGAGGUCGGGGGUUCGAUCCCCCCCGGCUCCA